rnacentral:rRNA from 1 species
CCUACGGGUGGCAGCAGUGAGGAAUAUUGGUCAAUGGACGAGAGUCUGAACCAGCCAAGUAGCGUGAAGGAUGACUGCCCUAUGGGUUGUAAACUUCUUUUAUAUGGGAAUAAAAUGUUCCACGUGUGGGAUUUUGUAUGUACCAUAUGAAUAAGGAUCGGCUAACUCCGUGCCAGCAGCCGCGGUAAUACGGAGGAUCCGAGCGUUAUCCGGAUUUAUUGGGUUGAAAGGGAGCGUAGGUGGAUUGUUAAGUCAGUUGUGAAAGUUUGCGGCUCAACCGUAAAAUUGCAGUUGAAACUGGCAGUCUUGAGUACAGUAGAGGUGGGCGGAAUUCGUGGUGUAGCGGUGAAAUGCUUAGAUAUCACGGAGAACUCCGAUUGCGAAGGCAGUUCACUGGACUGCAACUGACACUGAGGCUCGAAAGUGUGGGUAUCAAACAGGAUUAGAUACCCCUGUAGUC